rnacentral:miRNA from 1 species
CAUUCAAUUUCUGAACGGUAGA